GGAGGAAGAGGCAUUAGUACCAGAGGAGGAGGAAGAGGCAUUAAUACCAGAGGAGAAAGAGGCAUUAGUACCAGAGGAGGAAGAGGCAUAAACUCUAGAGGAGGGAGAGGUAUAAAUGCUAGAGGAGGGAGAGGUAUAAAUGCUAGAGGAGGGAGAGGCAUCAGUACUAGAGGAGGAAGAGGAAGAAUUCCCAAUAACCAAGGAGGUUCCUCAAGUCACCUCAACCGUGACCAUCAGGAGACAUACCAGCAGGUGAUGGGCACAGACACUGCAUUUAGACAAAAACUAGCGAGGAGAAAGAUCCAGCAAGCACGCAGGACUUUAGCAGUAUCACGGCAGAACACUAGGUCUCAAGCCAGAGCCAAUAUUGUUGAUGAACGCAGAGGCAUUACUGGAGGAAUGAAGCAGACCAAGGGCAACUUGGGAACACCUCUCGGAGUGCGAGUUGGGAGCGGCACUAUUGUCAGGGGGCUACGUUCAGAUCAGCUCUUACUUCACAAGAUGCAGAACGCCCACAACACCCACACUAAUACAAGUCUCAACAGAAUAGAAACAUUCACAGAAAAAGUUAGUACAGUAUAUUCUU